rnacentral:rRNA from 1 species
UGCAAGUCGAACGGGAUUGUUGGUAGUAAUACUGACAUGAGAGUGGCGCACGGGUGCGUAACACGUAUGUAACCUACCUUUAACAGGGGGAUAGCUUCGAGAAAUCGAAAUUAAUACCCCAUAACAUUUAGAAGAGGCAUCUCUUUUUUAUCAAAGCUCCGGCGGUUAAAGAUGGACAUGCGGUGCAUUAGCUAGUUGGUGAGGUAACGGCUCACCAAGGCUACGAUGCAUAGGGGGUCUGAGAGGAUGAUCCCCCACACUGGUACUGAGACACGGACCAGACUCCUACGGGAGGCAGCAGUAGGGAAUAUUGGGCAAUGGGCGCAAGUCUGACCCAGCCACGCCGCGUGAAGGAUGAAGGCCCUAUGGGUUGUAAACUUCUUUUGUAUGGGAAGAAACCCCCGAACGUGUUCGGGGCUGACGGUACCAUAAGAAUAAGCAUCGGCUAACUCCGUGCCAGCGGCCGCGGUAAUACGGAGGAUGCAAGCGUUGUCCGGAUUCAUUGGGUUUAAAGGGUGCGUAGGCGGAGAAUUAAGUCAGUGGUGAAAGCUUACAGCUUAACUGUAAAAAUGCCAUUGAAACUGAUUUUCUUGAGUUCGAUUGAGGUAGAUGGAAUGUAUCAUGUAGCGGUGAAAUGCUUAGAUAUGAUACAGAACACCAAUUGCGAAGGCAGUCUACUAAGUCGACACUGACGCUGAGGCACGAAAGCAUGGGGAGCAAACAGGAUUAGAUACCCUGGUAGUCCACGCCCUAAACUAUGAUUACUCGAUGUUGGCGAUACACAGUCAGCGUCUAAGUGAAAACGUUAAGUAAUCCACCUGGGGAGUACGCCCGCAAGGGUGAAACUCAAAGGAAUUGACGGGGGCCCGCACAAGCGGAGGAGCAUGUGGUUUAAUUCGAUGAUACGCGAGGAACCUUACCUGGGCUUGAAAGUUAGUGAAUCUCGCAGAAACGCGAGAGACCGAAAGGGACACGAAACUAGGGUGCUGCAUGGCUGUCGUCAGCUCGUG